GUCAAGAGAAUAAAAUUGAAACCGUGAUAAACUUCAUCAAAGAAAAUCAUUCACAUUGAAUCAAUUUUCUGGUGAAGAUUCUACUUUUCUUCCUUCUCCAAAUCCAUCUCAGAAUAACCAUUCGAAUCAAAAUCAAUCUAUCCCACAAAAUCAGAUUCUACUCUUCUUCCUUCUCCAAAUCCAACCCAGUUCUCUCAACCAUUUAGAAUUCUGCUGCUGCUGCUGUCUCUCUUGUUGUUCCAGGAUCCUUUUCACACCUGCAGCUGAAGAAUUGCAGCAUUUUUUUUGGGAAUGAGUACCCUGUCCAUGUCAACCAAUCAUGUAUUUAUGCAAGAAAUCUCCUGGAGUUCUGCUCGGAUCAAGCACUCCACGUGCUGACUCAGUUCAGAUUAUCUGAGUGACUAGGAAUAUGUGCAUUCCAGUUAUGAUAUGAUGAUGCUUGCCUGGGGUACCAAGUCUUUAGUCAGAGAAGCUGUAUCUGAGAAUAAUGACGACGGUGCAGAUUGGGAUGGGUGUCCUUGUUUUACUUGGAUUCCAUUAGCACCAAUGUUCAGGUUGAUGCCAAGAAAACUAUUGUUCCUGAGGUCUUUGCAUGAGUUGCUCCUGUAUGUGCUGCUGUAGCAGGUAUAAUAACUGUCCAUAAUCUUUUCAGUGCUCUUCAGGUAGUCCACUUCAUUUACUCAUCUUUGGAAAGUACCUUGGAACCCUUGGUGAGUAUGUUCUACCCCUGUCUACUUAUUCUGGAAGGUUAAUUAGCUGAAUGUUUGCAAAAUGAGUCAGUAAGUUCUGUUUCCCAGACCCCAAAGAUACAUUUUCUUAGAAGCUCAGUAUAGAACAUUUCGAUAAAUAGUCAAAUCCUUUCCAAUAUAAGGAUAAUCAUGUAAAGGUUUUGCUAUAAACACAACACGUAGAAUCACAAGUGCCAAUAUAAGGAGCUGCACUAGCGUACGAUUGUCCAAUUCGUAGGUUUAUGGGAACUUUUAUCGCUGAUGCACCUAGUUCUGUUUAACUAAAUUGACUUCUCAAUUAUUGUGUUCCUAAGAUAUUUACCAAUUAAAUCUAGAUUGAUAUCUUAAAUUUGUUGAGGUGUCAAGCUAUGAAGCUAUGAACAUCCACAAUUACCAGCAUACCUUGAAAUUAUGAAUAUAAAUAGUCCUGAAGUUGCAGGUUUGUUUGUCUUGGGUAUAUUUAGUUAUCCUUUGCGAAACUAGUAAGUUCCCUUCUAAACAAGUAUCCACUAUGGGACAAGUAAAUAUAUAUUGUUAUCGACAAGUUUUGGUUUCAGGUACAGGAUAAUUAAAUCUGAAAAAUGCUUCAACUAACCUUCAGCUGAGGGAGAGAUUGUUUUACAUACUGAUGCACUGUUCCCACUUAACCAGCUCUCACUGCAUGGCCUGGAUUGAGAGCAUCUGAGUUUGUGAAGCCGAUGCAUGACAGCCACAAUAAACAGCCUGACUCUUUGCUCAUUGUUAAACCUAAUUACCUAACAAACUCAUCCAGUUUGGAGGGGAUUCUAAGCAGAACUACUAAUUUUAACCUCUGGAGUUGCUUCCUUCAUUUUGAGCUCGUGUGGCAACCUAAUGACA